UACUCGAGUGGCGAACGGGUGAGUAACACGUGGGUGAUCUGCCCUGCACUUCGGGAUAAGCCUGGGAAACUGGGUCUAAUACCGGAUAGGAGCCAUUUUUAGUGUGAUGGUUGGAAAGUUUUUUCGGUGUGGGAUGAGCUCGCGGCCUAUCAGCUUGUUGGUGGGGUAAUGGCCUACCAAGGCGGCGACGGGUAGCCGGCCUGAGAGGGUGGACGGCCACAUUGGGACUGAGAUACGGCCCAG
rnacentral:rRNA from 1 species